rnacentral:rRNA from 1 species
UACGUAGGGCGCAAGCGUUGUCCGGAAUUAUUGGGCGUAAAGAGCUCGUAGGCGGCUUGUCGCGUCGAUUGUGAAAGCCCGGGGCUUAACUCCGGGUCUGCAGUCGAUACGGGCUAGCUAGAGUGUGGUAGGGGAGAUCGGAAUUCCUGGUGUAGCGGUGAAAUGCGCAGAUAUCAGGAGGAACACCGGUGGCGAAGGCGGAUCUCUGGGCCAUUACUGACGCUGAGGAGCGAAAGCGUGGGGAGCGAACAGG